rnacentral:rRNA from 1 species
UGAGUAACCUGCCCUGGACUUUGGGAUAACCCUCGGAAACGGGGGCUAAUACCGGAUAUGACGGCUCACCGCAUGGUGUGGUUGUGGAAAGUUUUUCGGUCUGGGAUGGGCUCGCGGCCUAUCAGCUUGGUGGUGGGGUGAUGGCCUACCAAGGCGACGACGGGUAGCCGGCCUGAGAGGGCGACCGGCCACACUGGGACUGAGACACGGCCCAGACUCCUACGGGAGCA